CAAAUCAGGUAGGGCUACCCGCUGAACUUAAGCAUAUCAUA
rnacentral:rRNA from 1 species